AAGACAUGGCUGAAAUGCAGUAGCUACAUGCAUGCAUAUGGAAAUGUCCUCUUGCACUAAAAUCCCAUUUAUUUCCAAUGUGUGCCCUGCUGGGGUGUCCAAAUACACUAUCAUGGGGAGAUACUGGAUCAAACAGAAUGAAUCUGUUGAACUCACCCAAGUGAUUCAAGGUAAGCCUAGAACAUUUUUCUUCAGUAAUUUUAAGGAGAUACAACAGACGAAACCAGCUUUCUGACAGCUUGCUUAGGCACGCAGAACCUAACACGAGGUGGAACGGUGUGUCUAAGUCAAGCGGCAUCUGAGAGUGUGGCCACACACACACAUUGCUGACGGGAUACAUACCAUGAGCCCUGGCUGGUGGCUAAAGAAGGCCCAGAAGGCAGGCUGGUUUGUGUGUGGUUAAUGUUGUGCCACUGACAUGGAAGUUCAUACCUGAGCAGCAGGAUGUGUUUUCCCAUCUAGUAUCCUACCCCUGCCACCCUUUUGGAAGGACUUGUGCUGUUCUCCCUCGUUUGGCCUGUAUAGUUGGUUGUCACUGUGAGGCUUUUGGAGAAUGCUCUGCAGUUACUGUUAGUUUAUGGAGGAUGAUGGAUGCAAGAAGUCAUGGAGUGUGCUUCCCUACUCUGCGUUAAGCCACAGAUGCAGGAUGAGGAGAGAAGUAAGGAAGAAGUAUAUUUCCUCCUAGAUUUCUCAUUUCUCUCCCACGCUCCUUCCUGUAAUUUGCCUUUCAGAUGAUCUUCGUCAGUACCCUCCAGCCCUUGUACUCUCUGUUCUUGGUCCCCUCC